UGAGAGGUGGCACACUUAGACGAUCAUCUUCUAGUGAUAUACAUUGGAUGGAGUAUCUUAUUUGCUUCAUCUUUAACCCACAUAUGGAUAUUAGACCAUGUGCAAAUUUUAGAUACAUGCCAAUUUCACAAGUGAUAUAAAAGGGUUAAUUCUUGACUCGUCUUGGAACAAAAUAGUAACAAAUCCUCCAUUUGGUGGAGAGAUCUCAGACUUGCAAUUCGUAUUUGGAGAGAGGAUAUUCUACCUGGUUUGGUAAUAGUUUUUGAAGCAACUUUGGAAAUGGCUCAAUCAUUGAUUUUUGGAGGUGCAGAUGGGUCCCGUUUGGAUGUAGACAAUUCCUUGGCCUUCAAGUUAUUGUGGUGCUCAAAUGUGCCAAGCAAUAUACAAUUUUUUGCUUGGAGGCUAUUGUUGUAGAGAUUUCAAACAAGAGACAAACUUGCAAAAUAAAGGGUAUUGGCAGGUUCACACAACAUCGUUUGCCCGCUUUGCUUAUGUCCUAAAGAAUCACAUUCUCACAUUUUACUUUUGUGUCUUGUGGCGGUUAGAGUCUGAUGGCUACUGCUUGACUGAUUAGGCAUUGAUUGUUUGUCUCGGUGUGACUCAAUUUUGAACCAUUUAUUAGCGUUUGGUGCUCUUUUGAAAGAAAGAACGAAGAAGAAAUGAAGACUUUUGUCUUAACUUGCAGUUACGUGUUCCAUUUGAAUGAUAAAGAAUGAGUCUGUUUUUAGAGAUGACAAUAAAGAAACUUCGAAAAUUAUUCUUAUAGCUAAGUCUUUAUUGUCGGAGUAGUUUAAAGCAAAGUCUAUUGAGUGGGCUGAUAAACUUUUAUUGGAUGCAAAUGUUUGGUUUAUUUUCCUUUGCUUAAUUUUCUUAGCUAGUGUUCCUGCCCAUAUCAUGCCCUUCUUUUUUUUUUUUUUUUUUUUGGUUCUCUUAUUGAAUUUGGGUUAACACCCCGUUUUGUUGUAAAAAAAACAAAAUACUUUAAACCAAAAAUACUACAAAUUAAAAAAAAAAAUCAAAUUGCUUUCUUUUCUGAUUUUUUUUUCAAUAACAAGGUUUAAAAAAAAAUCAUCGAAAAAACAAGUUUUUCAGAAAAUUUACCAAAGUGUCUAGGUUUUGCAGGAUCCCCUAGAGUAUGCGCCAAAUGAAUUGGCGCAUUGGUACAAAAAUUAGGUGUAUGCGCCAAAUGGUUUGGCGCCAAUGUGUCAUCCACAUUACGUUAGCCAAACGGUAUGACACUUAUGUGGGUGUUUCUUUUUUUUUUUAAUUGUUUUUUGUCUUUUUACAAACACUAAUACGCCAAAUGAAUUGGCUAGUUGAAGAAAAUUUAUACUAAUGCGCCAAAUGGUUUGACACAUACUCCAGAGAUUCUGCAAAACCUAGACAUUUUGGUAAAAUUUUUAAAAAACUUAUUGUUUUAGUAAUUUUUUUUUAAACAUUGUUAUUUUAAAUUUUUUUUCUUCUUUUCUUUGAGCUUUUGCCGUCCAUAUUACCAAAAAAAAAUACUAGAAAUUGAAAAAUUACAAAAAUCAUGAAUGGAAUUAUGAUAAGGAGUAUUUGGAGUAUUUUUCAGUGACAAGAGUCAUACUUUUUC